ACUCCCAUGGUGUGACGGGCGGGGAGGUGAAUGCCCGGGAACGUAUUCACCGCGGCGGCUGGGAGAAUCAAUAUCCUGGUGUACGCCUAAAUACUGGGGGAUAAUAAUGGACUUAUAUGUUUCCUGACCCAGCCUUAAACGGUGUACACUUGGUGUGGGGGGAAUUGACCCCCUCCGUGCCGCAGCUAACGCGAUAAGUGUACCGCCUGGGGAGUACGGCCGCAAGGUUAAAACUCAAAGAAAUUGACGGGGGCCCGCACAAGCGGAGGAGCAUGUGGCUUAAUUCGAUGCAACGCGAAGAACCUUACCAGGGUUUGAAAUGCAACUGCACGUCCCGUGAAAGCGGGAUUCCUUCGAGGGUGUUGCACAGGUGCUGCAUGGCUGUCGUCAGUUCGUGCCGUGAGGUGUUGGGUUAAGUCCCACAACGAACGCAACCCUUGUGUUUAGUUGCCAUCACCGGUGAUGAACCGGUGAGCACUCUAGACAGACUGCCCGUGUUAAGCGGGAGGAAGGUGGGGAUGACGUCAAGUCAGUAUGGCCUUUAUAUCCUGGGCUGCACACGUGCUACAAUGGCCGGUCCAGAGGGAUGCAAUACCGCAAGGUGGAGCAAAUCCCCAAAAAGCGGCCUCAGUACGGAUUGCAGUCUGCAACUCGA
rnacentral:rRNA from 1 species